AAGGGUAUAGCUCAAGUGGUAGAGCACAUGCUUAGCAUGCAUGAGGUCCUGGGUUCAAUCCCCAGUCCCUCCU
rnacentral:tRNA from 1 species